rnacentral:rRNA from 1 species
GAUGAACGCUAGCGGGAGGCUUAACACAUGCAAGUCGUGGGGCAGCACGGGGUAGCAAUACUCUGGUGGCGACCGGCGCACGGGUGAGUAACGCGUAUGCAACCUGCCCUGUACAGGGGGAUAGCCCGGAGAAAUUCGGAUUAAUACCCCAUAAUGAUAUUUUGAGGCAUCUUUAAAUAUUUAAAGCUUCGGCGGUACAGGAUGGGCAUGCGUGACAUUAGCUAGUUGGUAGGGUAACGGCCUACCAAGGCUUCGAUGUCUAGGGGGUCCUGAGAGGGUGAUCCCCCACACUGGUACGUGAGACACGGACCGACGACUCCUACGGGUGGGCAG